rnacentral:tmRNA from 1 species
GGUCUUUCGUAAUUGCCCAAUCGCGCCUAUAUAAUGGGGCGUCGGGUCCGCCCGACUAUGGCAAUAAACGUUUUGCGUAAUAAACGUUCGGACCCGGGGGCAGUACCCGGC